CCAGACUCCUACGGGAGGCAGCAGUAGGGAAUUUUCGGCAAUGGGGGGAACCCUGACCGAGCAACGCCGCGUGAAGGAAGAAGGAAUUCGUUCUGUAAACUUCUGUUAUAAAGGAAGAAAGACGGAUGGAGGAAAUGACAUCCGAGUGACGGUACUUUAUGAGAAAGCCACGGCUAACUACGUGCCAGCAGCCGCGGUAAUACGUAGGUGGCAAGCGUUAUCCGGAAUUAUUGGGCGUAAAGAGGGAGCAGGCGGCAGCAAAGGUCUGUGGUGAAAGACUGAAGCUUAACUUCAGUAAGCCAUAGAAACCGGGCAGCUAGAGUGCAGGAGAGGAUCGUGGAAUUCCAUGUGUAGCGGUGAAAUGCGUAGAUAUAUGGAGGAACACCAGUGGCGAAGGCGACGAUCUGGCCUGCAACUGACGCUCAGUCCCGAAAGCGUGGGGAGCAAAUAGGAUUAGAUACCCUAGUAGUCCACGCCGUAAACGAUGAGUACUAAGUGUUGGAAGUCAAAUU
rnacentral:rRNA from 1 species